UUUUCUGAGAAUUUGAUCUUGGUUCAGAUCGAAUGCUGACGGCGUGGAUGAGGCAUGCAAGUCGCACGAUAUGGGGGAAACUCUAUAUAGUGGCGCAAGGGUUAGUAAUACAUAGAUAAUCUACCUCUGACACUGGAAUAACGGCUGGAAACGGCCGCUAAUACCGGAUGAGGUGGUGUAGGGCAUCCUACAUGAAUCAAAGCGGGGGAUCGCAAGACCUCGUGGUUAGAGCAGAGUCUAUGGGAUAUCAGCUAGUUGGUGUGGUAAGAGCACACCAAGGCUAAGACGUCUAGGCGGAUUGAGAGAUUGACCGCCAACACUGGGACUGAGACACUGCCCAGACUCCUACGGGAGGCUGCAGUCGAGAAUCUUUCGCAAUGGGCGCAAGCCUGACGAAGCGACGCCGUGUGAACGAAGAAGGCCUUCGGGUUGUAAAGUUCUUUCGCUAGGGAACAAGGGAGACGGGAUAAAACCCUGUUAACUUGAUGGUACUUGGUAAAGAAGCACCGGCUAACUCCGUGCCAGCAGCUGCGGUAAUACGGAGGGUGCAAGCAUUGAUCGGAAUUACUGGGCGUAAAGGGCGCGUAGGCGGCCAACUAAGUCGGAUGUGAAAUUCCAGGGCUCAACUCUGGAGCUGCAUUUGAAACUGGAUGGCUAGAGGGCAGUUAGGGAAAACGGAAUUCCACGUGUAGCGGUGAAAUGCGUAGAUAUGUGGAAGAACACCGGUGGUGAAGACGGUUUUCUGGGCUGUUACUGACGCUGAGGCGCGAAAGCAUGGGAAGCAAACAGGAUUAGAUACCCUGGUAGUCCAUGCCGUAAACGAUGCAUACUAGGUGUAGGAGGGCUCAACCCCCUCUGUACCGGAGCUAACGCGUUAAGUAUGCCGCCUGGGGAGUACGCUCGCAAGGGUGAAACUCAAAAGAAUUGACGGGGGCCCGCACAAGCAGUGGAGCAUGUGGUUUAAUUCGAUGCAACGCGAAGAACCUUACCUGGGCUCGAAAUGUAGAGGACGAUAUCAGAGAUGGUAUUUCCCGAAAGGGUCUUUAUAUAGGUGCUGCAUGGCUGUCGUCAGCUCGUGCCGUGAGGUGUUUGGUUAAGUCCAGCAACGAGCGCAACCCUUAUCGUUAGUUGCCAGCGCUUAGGGCGGGAACUCUAACGAGACUGCCUGGGUUAACCAGGAGGAAGGUGAGGAUGACGUCAAGUCCGCAUGGCCUUUAUGUCCAGGGCUACACACGUGCUACAAUGGUCGGUACAGAAGGCAGCGAAACCGUAAGGCGGAGCAAAUCCUGAAAAACCGAUCUCAGUUCAGAUUGUAGUCUGCAACUCGGCUACAUGAAGUUGGAAUUGCUAGUAAUGGCGUGUCAGCAACAACGCCGUGAAUACGUUCCCGGGCCUUGUACACACCGCCCGUCACAUCAUGGGAGUUGGUUUUACCCGAAGUCGCUGACUCGACCGUAAGGGGAGAGGCGCCUAAGGUAAGGCCGAUGACUGGGAUGAAGUCGUAACAAGGUAGCCCUAUCGGAAGGUGGGGCUGGAUCACCUCCUUUA
rnacentral:rRNA from 1 species